rnacentral:rRNA from 1 species
AUUGAACGCUGGCGGCAGGCCUAACACAUGCAAGUCGAGCGAGUGGCGGACGGGUGAGUAAUGUCUGGGGAUCUGCCUGAUGGAGGGGGAUAACUACUGGAAACGGUGGCUAAUACCGCAUACCAUCGGAUGAACCCAGAUGGGAUUAGCUAGUAGGUGGGGUAACGGCUCACCUAGGCGACGAUCCCUAGCUGGUCUGAGAGGAUGAUCAGCCACACUGGGACUGAGACACGGCCCAGACUCCUACGGGAGGCAGCAGUGGGGAAUAUUGCACAAUGGGCGCAAGCCUGAUGCAGCCAUGCCGCGUGUAUGAAGAAGGCCUUAGGGUUGUAAAGUACUUUCAGCGGGGAGGCGUUACCCGCAGAAGAAGCACCGGCUAACUCCGUGCCAGCAGCCGCGGUAAUAC